rnacentral:lncRNA from 1 species
AUUUCAGAGGCGGGAAGAGAACGUCAUCAUCGGUGUAAUGCUCUUCGGGACUCUGCAUCAAGCUGCUGAGUGACUCACCGCGGGCAAACUCCCUUGUCAGCCUCCUGUGAGAUGCACAACUCCUCUGGAUCUUAGAUAUCUCCUUUCUCCAGUGUUUUUUUUUUUUUUUUUUAAAUACAUUUAACAUUUCAUGAAAAACUGGAGUGCUGGGCUUAAAGACACGCACCACCACCGCCUGGCACUUUUGGGUACUAUUCAUUUGCCAUGCCUCAAUUCAUGAAGAAACAUCGCUUGGAGAUAAAAUCCCAGCCGGUGGCAGCUGUAAUUGUGGUAAAAGCCAGUCUCAACAGAAGUGCACUAAGGGAGCAGACGAUGCGUGCGUGUAAUAGGAACCACAGGACCUCAAAGGCAACGCUGCCUCAAAAGCCGCCUCGCAAGUUCAGAUGCAGAUUGGACACUUCAGAGCUCCUCUGUAGUCUCUGAGUUGGAUCCGGCCACAUUGCCUAGCGCAGAAUACCUUACAACUCUCUCUAGGUGUCUGGUGUUUGACUGGGAUGCCAUCUCUCUUAGCCUCAGUGGCAAUUCACAGGCAUGAUUUUGUUGAUAAUCCUCAAACCCACAGGGACUAAAGCUCACAAUCCUGUCAGAAGCUUUGAGUGUUUGCCACUGAAUAAACAUGAACACUUACACCAUUUGCAUGAAUAAAAUAUAUGAUGGGAUAUUUUUAUCUAUAAAUACAAUAAACAGAGUGGAAUUGUGU